rnacentral:rRNA from 1 species
GAUGAACGCUGACAGAAUGCUUAACACAUGCAAGUCGAUGGGGAAGUGGUGCUUGCACCAUGGCAACCAUGGCGGACGGGUGAGUAACGCGUAAGGGACUUACCUGCAGGACUGGGAUAACAGGGGGAAACUCCUGACAAGACCGGAUAAUGUCAUGGAGCUGCCUGGCUUUAUGAUGAAAGGAGACGCCUGCGGAGAGCCUUGCGUCCUAUUAGCUAGUUGGUGGGGUAAUGGCUCACCAAGGCGAAGAUAGGUAGCCGGCCUGAGAGGGUGGACGGCCACAAGGGGACUGAGAUACGGCCCUUACGCCUGCGGGAGGCAGCAGUGGGGAAUAGUGGACAAGGGGGGCAACCCUGAUCGAGCAAUUCUGUGUGCACGAAGAAGGUUUUCGGAGUGUAAAGCGCUUGCAGCAGGGAAGAAGUAAGUGACGGUACCUGCAGAAGAAGCGACGGCUAAAUACGUG